UUUAUUUUUGUUACAAAACCCAUGUAAAUUGGAGAGGAACAUAUUUUGUUUCCGGUUUGGUCACAUUGUUGGGGGGACAAUUAAUAUGUGACGGAAUAAGGGAAGCAGCAUGAGACAGCAAACAUUUGAUGGAAGAGGUUAAAGGAGUCUCGGCUGGAAAAGAAACUUUAUUCCCUCUGAGUUUGUGAGGCCAAUGAGUUCUGACUGCAUUUGUUCAGCAUUUUUUGGCAUCAUUUGGGAGGAGAAGAAGGCGUGGCUGAAAUAAAUGUCUGUUUGAGAAAAACGAACAACUUCAGCCUUGAUUAAGACCUCGGAGGGAGUAACAGCCUUUAUUAAUUAUAAAUUGGAGAAAUUUACUCCAUACUGGGAACACUGGAUCCGCUUUGGACUGGACUCUCGCGGCUGUGUUGGAUCCAUUAUGGAUUGAACUUUCACAGUAUCAUGUUAGACCCGCUCCACAUCCAUUGCUUUCCUCCUCUCCAAGGUUCUCAUAGUCAUUAUUGUCACCGACGUCCCACUGGGUGUGAGUUUUUCCUUGCCCUUAUGUGGGCCUACCGAGGAUGUCGUUGUGGUUUGUGUUGUGGUUUGUGCAGCCCUUUGAGACACUAGUGAUUUAGGGCUAUAUAAGUAAACAUUGAUUGAUUGAUUGAAAACUGGGUCAACUAUGUCACGCCUCAUAAGCCUGACCUAAAUCUCCCAAAUUAGUGUACUGUUUAAAAAAAAAAAAAGGGUUACUCCCUAAUGUGUAUUUGUGUGUAUAUACAUAUAUGUAUCUGUUUAUAUUUAUUUUAUUUUAUUUCUGUUUAUUAUUAUUAUCUAUGUAUUAUUUAUUGUUUGCUUAUUUAAUUGAUUUAUUUGUAGAUACUGUUUUAUUUUUGUUUUUCUCUGUUUCUUUUUUCUUUUUUCAGGGGGGUGGUAUGAUGGGCAUAUAAACAAAAAAUAAUUUUGACAUUUAGGGCAGACAACAGCUAUAUGAUGUAUGUGAAUAUGAUUUAAUGGAUAGAAAUGUCUGAUUUUGGAUGUAAAAUAUAAAUAUAUAUAAAAAAAUAAAUAAAUAAUUUGUUUCACUCCACAGUAAAUUGACAGUAAAAAGUAAAAAGUGGUUGUGGCAAUUGUUGGAUAUGACUUUAAAGCAUAAGCAAGCAUGCAUGACUAUAGCUCUUGUCUCAAAGUAGGUGUACUGUCACCACCUGUCACAUCACACCCUGAUGCAUUUGCACUUUUUUGCUCUUUUCCUGUGUGUAGUCUUUUACUUCUUAUCUUGUGCUCCUAUUUUGGUGGCUUUUCCUGUUUUGUUGGUAUUUUCCUGUAGCAGUUUCAUGUCUUCCUUUGUGCGAUAUUCCCCACAUCUAUUUUUUUUAGCAAUCAGGAAUAUUUCAGCUGUUUUUAUCCUUCUCCGUAGGGACAUUGUUGAUUGUCACGUCAUGUUCGAAUGUACAUUGUCUUUGCUCCACAGUAAGUCUUUGCUGUCGUCCAGCAUUCUGUUUUUCUUUACUUUGUAGCCAGUUUAGUUUUAGUUUUGUUCUAUAUAGCCUUCCCUAAGCUUCAAUGCCUUUUUUUUAAGGGCACUCACGUUUUGUUUACUUUUGGUUUAAGCAUUAGACACCUUAUUACCUGCACCCCGCUGUUUCCGACAUCUACAAAGCAAUUAGCUACCUGCUGCCACCUACUGAUAUGGAAGAGUAUUACAUCAACAACAACAACACAUCAUUUGCAGACUAUAAUUACUGGUUUGCAAAAAAUAUUUUUAACCCAAAUAGGUGAAAUGAGAUUGUUAGAAAAAUUGUGUAAAUUGUGUGUGAAUUAUCAAAAAACUUUCAGAUCUCUUUUAUUUAAUUGAGUAGUUGAGAGCUGUCCUUCUUCAACCAAGCAAGGUCUUGGGGUAUUCCGCUGUGUACAUUGGAAUGCGACGAGAGGGGUUUUCUUUUGUCCUCAAAGACCUGCCGAAGCCGAGACCAGGAGGAGCUCGGGCCCGAGGCAUCAUCUUUCUUUUGUCUUCAUUGUGACCGAAAACAAUGACUGUUUAUAUACUCCCCAUUCCUAUUUUGCUGAGACCAGGACGAGCCUGGACCCGAGGCAUUGUCUUCUUUUGUCUUCAAUGUGACCGAAAACAGUGACUGUGUGUAUGCUCCCCAUUCCUGUUUUGACAUGUGUUGUUGCGUAAACAUUGAAUAGCUAAAUAAAAGAGGAGACGAAAACCUUUUCGUGAGAGCUUGGUGCAGGAACUGUGGGAGGUGUACAGAGGCCAUGUCUCUCCUCGGAUCCGAGUCCAAAUUUAAGUCUGUCUCUGUUUGAUUCCUUG